rnacentral:rRNA from 1 species
AUUGAACGCUGGCGGCAUGCCUUACACAUGCAAGUCGAACGGCAGCACGGGAGCAAUCCUGGUGGCGAGUGGCGAACGGGUGAGUAAUAUAUCGGAACGUGCCCAGUAGUGGGGGAUAGCCCGGCGAAAGCCGGAUUAAUACCGCAUACGACCUGAGGGUGAAAGCGGGGGAUCGCAAGACCUCGCGCUAUUGGAGCGGCCGAUAUCAGAUUAGCUAGUUGGUGGGGUAAAGGCCUACCAAGGCGACGAUCUGUAGCUGGUCUGAGAGGACGACCAGCCACACUGGGACUGAGACACGGCCCAGACUCCUACGGGAGGCAGCAGUGGGGAAUUUUGGACAAUGGGCGCAAGCCUGAUCCAGCCAUGCCGCGUGCGGGAAGAAGGCCUUCGGGCUGUAAACCGCUUUUGUCAGGGAAGAAACGCUUCGAGCUAAUACCUUGGAGUAAUGACGGUACCUGAAGAAUAAGCACCGGCUAACUACGUGCCAGCCGCCGCCGUAAAAC